GUGUCAGCCGCCGCGGUAAUACGAAGGACCCGAGCGUUAUCCGGAUUUAUUGGGUUUAAAGGGUGCGUAGGCGGAUUUACAAGUCAGUGGUGAAAUCUCCCAGCUUAACUGGGAAACUGCCAUUGAAACUGUUUAUCUUGAGUACAUUUGAGGCGGGCGGAAUGUGUCAUGUAGAGGUGAAAUUCUUAGAUAUGACACAGAACACCAAUUGCGAAGGCAGCUCGCUAAACUGUAACUGACGCUGAGGCACGAAAGCGUGGGGAUCAAACAGGAUUAGAUACCCCCGUAGUCC
rnacentral:rRNA from 1 species